rnacentral:rRNA from 1 species
UACGUAGGGUGCAAGCGUUAAUCGGAAUUACUGGGCGUAAAGCGUGCGCAGGUGGCUCGCUAAGGCCGAUGUGAAAUCCCCGGGCUUAACCUGGGAACUGCAUUGGUGACUGGCGGGCUAGAGUAUGGCAGAGGGGGGCAGAAUUCCACGUGUAGCAGUGAAAUGCGUAGAGAUGUGGAGGAAUACCGAUGGCGAAGGCAGCCCCCUGGGCCAAUACUGACGCUCAUGCACGAAAGCGUGGGGAGCAAACAGG